rnacentral:rRNA from 1 species
UACAGAGGUCUCAAGCGUUGUUCGGAUUCAUUGGGCGUAAAGGGUGCGUAGGCGGCGCGGUAAGUCGGGUGUGAAAUCUCGGGGCUUAACUCCGAGACUGCAUUCGAUACUGCCGUGCUUGAGGACUGGAGAGGAGACUGGAAUUUACGGUGUAGCGGUGAAAUGCGUAGAUAUCGUAAGGAAGACCAGUGGCGAAGGCGGGUCUCUGGACAGUUCCUGACGCUGAGGCACGAAGGCCAGGGGAGCAAACGGG